rnacentral:rRNA from 1 species
UACAUGGGGUGCAAACGUUGCUCGGAAUUAUUGGGCGUAAAGCGCGCGUAGGCGGUUACUCAAGUCGGAUGUGAAAGCCCUCGGCUUAACUGAGGAAGUGCACCCGAAACUGAGUAGCUAGAGUACCAAAGAGGGUCGCGGAAUUCCCGGUGUAGAGGUGAAAUUCGUAGAUAUCGGGAGGAACACCGGUGGCGAAGGCGGGUCUCUGGGCCGAUACUGACGCUGAGGAGCGAAAGCGUGGGGAGCGAACAGG